GUUUUUCUCCUCAUAAUGUAAUAAGGCAAUUGCUUUCCUGGCCGCCACGUUGCUGUGCUCGUAAUCUUUAAGUUGCCGAAUGUUGUCAGGCAACUCGCAUUUCAUCUGGCCCUGACGGUGGCCAUGACAACACGCCCCAGCUUCCCCCACCACUGCGGUGUGAGUGAAGACCAGCACUGGUGAAAC